GAUAAAAAAGUUGAACACCAGUACAACUAAAAACCUCACAAAUGUAUUUCACUCAUAGAGGAACUAAGGCAACUUUAAGUGAAGGAAAAUAAGAAAGCGAGAGGUUAGAAUGAGAGAAGGAUAACUAGAAUCCAAAAUCUAGUGUAAAUAAAAGUGAAGAGACUCCCUCCUUAUUUAGGAAAAGUAUAUCUAAAAAAGGAAAGCGGUC
rnacentral:lncRNA from 1 species